GGAAAAGUUUAUCGAGGGGGCUCGGGGGUGUCAGAGGGCGGCGGGGUCAGGAGCCGGGAGGUGCGGAGCAAGGGAACAGCGUAGCCGGAUGCUGGGUGGGAAUAACCGGUGGACCCGGCGGGGUGGGAGCUGACCAGCGAGGAGCUGGUGGAGAUGCAGGCAGAGCCCGAGCCGGGCAGCGCCGCUCCGUGCUCCUGGGAACCGGAGGGGGAGCGGGGGAAGGGGCUGGAGCGGUGGAAUAUCAUUAUCCUCUCUAGAAGUGGGUCAGGGCGCAGGCAUUGGAAUCGCUGCUCCGGGAAGACAAAACAAGAGCAAAACGAUAAGAAAUAAAGAAAAAAAUGUAACAGCACUCAACAAAACUCCAAAGCACCCAAAUGAGAAGUGUAAAAUUAAGGGUACAAACACCACAUCUCAUGGCUGGGACAGCUCGGAACAGCACUUGGGUCUUUGGGAACACAAGGACAUAGCUGAUCCCCCACCUCACUCCAGGCAGUGUGAGCAGCGCUGUGUUAGCGGUGCUGUUCCAGUCUGGGUGGUGGAAACAGCUCUGCACAGAUGAUGUUUUAUGGUGGGCAGCCUCAGCACAGCAGCACCCGGUGCCUUACAGGUGUGUGUGCUGCUCUGUCCUCUUUCCCCAGGUAUGGGAGCUGUGGCCUCUCCUUCCAGAAGAACACAACAUUUUCAGUGCCCCUGCUCUAGUUGGGAAGGGUAGAGCUCUCUUGCCAUGAAACAAAUUGGCAAAUUCAGAGUGAAAGGCUGCAGGAGAAAUUGCCGAGAUGUUCAAGCAUUGUGUCUGGAAAGCAGGCGGUGGAUGUGUCUCCCAUGCAAGGUUACAGGUGGGAAUUAAAGAAUGUUCAGUCACUCUGGAGAUGGAUUCUCGCCACCAUACCUUUACACAGGUACUUUAUUACAGACCAAUGCAAGGUAAUAUAUGGCCAUUUGGUGAUGCCAAUGCCCACAAGACAAUGGAAGCACAGGCUGCCAGCAUCCCCCUCCACUUGAAUUUCCUCAGGCUGGGAGGUGGACAUGACUUGCUCAUGAGUACAUAUGAGUCUGAAGAGCUAUCAGCUCCCCUCCAUCCUGUGGGGAUCACUUUUUGUCUUCAGAUUUCAGAUGUUCUCAAAGCUUUGUGACCAGCUGACAAGUCUAAAGGAUCACCUCCAUCAGCUGCUAGUGUGGCUACCUAUGUAGGGAGAUGCUGGAAAAGCUUUGAGUAGAUCAAUGUUCUCCUUUCUUAUAGGGUUUCUUUAAGAAUUCCCUUUUAUUUUCACCAUGAACCCAUCACAAGCACACCCACACCAAAGGG